ACUACGGGAGGCAGCAGUGAGGAAUCUUGGUCAAUGGGCGCGCGCCUGAACCAGCCAAGUAGCGUGAAGGAUGACUGCCCUACGGGUUGUAAACUUCUUUUAUAAAGGAAUAAAGUGAGGCACGUGUGCCUUUUUGUAUGUACUUUAUGAAUAAGGAUCGGCUAACUCCGUGCCAGCCGCCGCGGUAUUCUGGAGGAUCCGAGCGGUAUCCGGAUUUAUUGGGUUUAAAGGGAGCGUAGUUGGGUUGUUAAGUCAGGUGUGAAAGUUUGCGGCUCAACCGUAAAAUUGCAAUUGAUAAUGGCAGCCUUGAGUACAGUUGAGGUAGGCGGAAUUCGUGGUGUAGCGGUGAAAUGCUUAGAUAUCACGAAGAACUCCGAUUGCGAAGGCAGCUUACUAAACUGCCACUGACAUUGAUGCUCGAAAGUGUGGGUAUCAAACAGGAUUAGAUACCCGAGUAGUC
rnacentral:rRNA from 1 species